rnacentral:rRNA from 1 species
AUUGAACGCUGGCGGAAUGCUUUACACAUGCAAGUCGAACGGCAGCACGGGGGCAACCCUGGUGGCGAGUGGCGAACGGGUGAGUAAUACAUCGGAACGUGCCCAAUCGUGGGGGAUAACGUAGCGAAAGCUACGCUAAUACCGCAUACGAUCUACGGAUGAAAGCGGGGGAUCGCAAGACCUCGCGCGAAUGGAGCGGCCGAUGGCGGAUUAGCUAGUUGGUGAGGUAAAGGCUCACCAAGGCGACGAUCCGUAGCUGGUCUGAGAGGACGACCAGCCACACUGGAACUGAGACACGGUCCAGACUCCUACGGGAGGCAGCAGUGGGGAAUUUUGGACAAUGGGCGCAAGCCUGAUCCAGCCAUUCCGCGUGAGUGAAGAAGGCCUUC